rnacentral:tRNA from 1 species
GUUGGAAUAGCAAAGUGGUAAUGCGAUAGUUUUAGGUACUAUUAAUGGAGAGUUCGAUUCUUUCUUUCAAUU